CUAGUACGGGAGGCAGCAGUAGGGAAUCUUCCGCAAUGGGCGAAAGCCUGACGGAGCAACGCCGCGUGAGUGAAGAAGGAUUUCGGUUCGUAAAGCUCUGUUAAUCGGGACGAAAGGUCCUCUUGCGAAUAGUUAGAGGAAUUGACGGUACCGGAAUAGAAAGCCACGGCUAACUACGUGCCAGCAGCCGCGGUAAUCUAG
rnacentral:rRNA from 1 species